rnacentral:lncRNA from 1 species
CAGCCCUGUAGGAGACACCUCCAGAGAAAGUAACAGCUCUCAAUUGAUUAGCUGAGAAGCCUCAGGGGCUGGAUCCUGACAUGAACCAGACACCUCCAGAAUUCUAUCCCAAGCAAAAGAUUAUUUCAAGGCCAGAACUCACUCCCUGCUGGAGACUGACUACAAGAUCCACUGAGAUUGAUGUGUAACCUGAUUGGGCCCACAGUGAUGCUAGCCCCUUCACCAGAUGGAACAAUAAUUCCAGACAAGCCAUCAGAGCAGGUCACACCACUUGACACCUUCUCGCCCCCUUGCCUCUCCUGCAUUCCAAACCCCUCUCUUUAAAAUCCCCAUGUUCCCUCCGUAAACUGGGCAGUGCCAAUUGUUGGAAAGAAUUCUGGCACUCUUUUCCUUCUUAGCAUGGAUAAAAAGAUUCACCCUCUUUUUAUCACACCUCACUCUUGUUAUUUUGGCUUCUUUCUACAAGUGGUGAGCAACCGGGCCCCCUUUGCUGGUUAUAGUAUGAACUAUUUUAUUUUUUUUAAUCUACAAUAAAAUAAAAUACAUUCAUUAGAUUUCAAAGUGGUGUUUAAUGGUUUAAGAAAAA